rnacentral:lncRNA from 1 species
ACUAUACUUUAGGGAUCAUUUCUAUAGUUUGUUGCUAGGGAAGUUUCUCUGAACAUGUACAGCACUGCACAAAAAUCAAAUCAAAAUGGAUUAAAGACUUAAAUCUAAGACCUCAAACUAUGAAACUAUGAAACUACUACAAGAAAACACUGGGGGAAAUCUCCAGGAUAUUGGUCUGGGCAAAAAUUCCUUGAACAAUACCCCAUAAGCACAGGCAACCAAAGCAAAAAAUGGACAAAUGGGAUCACAUCAAGUUAAAAAGCUUCUGCACACCAAAGGAUACAAUCAACAAAGUAAAGAGACAACCCACAGAAUGGGAGAAAAUAUUUGCAAACUACCCAUCUGGCAAGGGAUUAACAACCAGAAUAUUUAAGGAGCUCAGCUCUAAGCAGGAAAAAACUAAUAAUCUGAUCAAAAAAUGGGCAAAAGAUUUGAAUAGACAUUUCUCAAAAGAAGACAUACAGAUGGCAAACAGGCAUAUGUAAGGUGCUCAACAUCACUGAUCAUCAGAGAAAUGCAAAUCAAAACUACCAUAUCAUCUCACCCCAGUUCAAAUGGCUUAUUUCUAAAACACAGGCAAUCACAAAUGCUGGCGAGGAUGUGGAGAGAAGGGAACGCUCGUACACUGUUGUUGGGAAUGUAAAUUAGUACAACCACCAUGGAGAACAGUUUGGAGGUUCCUGCACUGCUGGGUAUAUACUCAAAAGAAAGGAAAUCAGGUUGGGCGCGGUGGCUCACUCCUGUAAUCCCAGCACUUUGGGAGGCGUAGGCGGGCAGAUCACUUGAGGUCAGGAGUUCAAGACCAGCCUGGCCAACAUGGUGAAACCCCAUCUGUACUACAAAUACAAAAAUUUGCUGGCAUGGUGGCCCAUGCCUGUAACCCUAGCUACUUGGCAAGCUGA